UACAGAGGUCUAGGGACUAGUUACGUAGGUCUAGGGACUGGUUACAGAUGAUUGGGGACUGGUUACAGAGGUCUAGGGACUGGUUAUGUAGGUCUAGGGACUGGUUACAGAUGGUUGGGGACUGGUGACAGAGGUCUAAGGACUGGUUACAGAGGUCAAGGGACUUGUUACAGAAGUCUAGAGACUUGUUACAGAAGACUAGGGACUGGUUACAGAGGUCUAAGGACUGGUUACGUAAGUCUAGGGACUGUUUACAGAGGUCAAGGGACUGGUUACAAAAGUCUAGGGACUGGUUACAGAGGUCUAGGGACUGGUUACAUAAGUCUAGGGACUGGUUACAGAGGUCUAGAGACUGGUUACAGAAAUCUAGGGACUGGUUGUGGAGUUCUAGUGGCAGACGUGCAGCUCUGUCCUCUAAUUGCCUGAGAGCUAGGUGUAUGUACACUCACUUGCGUCGUCUCUCUUCGUCCUUCAGGACUUCAUAGAUGGCGACCAGCUGAAAAUCAUAGCACAGACUCAGAGUGAUUUACACUGGUGGUGAUCUGUUGAUGUGAUUGAUAAUUCAAUUCAAUUCAAUUCAAUUUCAUUUGUAUAGCGCCAAUUCAUAACAGAAGUUAUCUCAGGAUACUUUUCAAAUAGAGCAGGUCUAGACCGAACUCUUUAACAUUAAUUACAGAGACCCAACAGUACCACCAUGAGCAAGCACUUGGCGACAAGGGCAAGGAAAAACUGCCUGUUAAAAGGCAGAAACCUAGGACAGAUCCUCCGGCUCUAGGUGGGUGGUCGUCUGUCUCGACCAGUUGGGGUGAGAGAGAGAGAGAGAGAGAGAGAGAGAGAGAGAGAGAGAGAGCGACAGACAGACAGACAGGUGCACAGCAACAACAGUAUUGGCAAUGGCAGUCAAGCAGGACCAUGGCAGGAGGCUCCACCAGGAUCCAUGAGAACCUGCGAGACGAGAAAGCACAAGAACUCCGGGGAAGAAGUGGAGUUAGUAACAUGCAUUAAAGGGACAUGAAUGAGUGCAGAAAGAGAGAGGAAGAGAGUAGCUCAGUGCACCAUGGGAAAUCCCCCGAUAGUCUAGGCCUAUAGCAGCAUAACUAAGGGAUGGUUCAGGAC